AUUUUAUGAGAGACCACAUCAAUAGUACAAGGUGGGACAAAAUUCAUAGUAGGAUUGGACAAGUAAGUAACCAAUUUGUUAAUUGUUGUUGCAGGUAUUUUUUAUAAGUCUUGGAAGAUUCAUCAUGGGUGAUUUCAUGAAGGAACAAUAAGUGAAAUAGUGAAAUUUUAGUUUCAAAAUGGCAGGUCCAUUAUUUUGACGCAAAGAGAAAACUGUCCUGAAAUGUGGUUUCAACAGGAUGGGACUACUUACUAUACAGCCAGGGACAUAAUGAACCUCCAGAGACAACAACUUGUGGAUAAUUUCAAUAAAUUCCCAGAUUUUCCAUGCACUCACCCAACCUUUCAGCUCCCAAUUAUUCAUGAAGCUGGGUGGCUAACACAGAGGAAAAAUAAUAAAGUCUAACAGCUGCAGCAUAGUCCCCUGUCAACCUCCUCCACCCUUAAGCUAUUAGAAGUCCCGACGAGCGUUUCGCCGACUAGCGGCUCUUCCAAGGGACCCAGCUUCAUGAUUUUACAAUGCUUAGUUAGGUAGCCGUUAGGUCGAUCGGCUCCUGUUGAAUUAUAGAGGGGAAGGAGAGUGUGCUGCCAGUGUGGGCAAGGGUGAUGGGAGUUGGGGGAUACUCUAUUGAGAAUUCAUAUUAAACCGUUUUUUAUUAUUUCUACGCUAACACCCCCUAUACCCCUGUGCCACUGGUGUUGCUAAUAGACAUAGGCAGCACGGGCAAGCUAUCACUUUCUCCUGUUUCUAUACCUCUCAGUUUUUAGAUAUUGGUUUACUUUUAGUUAUUUUAACUUUAUUAAUUAAAAGUUAUAUGGCAAAAUAUGUUGUUUGUCUGACAGAAUGCACUGUUUUUGCAGUUAUAUUUCCUUUGAACACAGUUUUAUUUUUAGAAAUGUUUAUUUUUAUAGAGUUUCCCCAAAGUAUAUUAAAGGGACACUAUAGUCACCAAAACAGC